rnacentral:lncRNA from 1 species
CUAAAAACUCUGCUAAAUUCUCCGUUCGAGCACUCCAUUCUUGUUGAGGCAGAGAACUGACUUGAGUGUCGGAGGGUCUUGCCGGAGCAACCCAACCUCCGGUUUAGACUUCCUUUGCAGGUCCCGGCGGCGACCGCGACUUCCUCGACUCCAGCUUCUCCGGUGCAAGUGGAUUUUUGCACCAACAGUCAGCAUAUCAAUAUGUCUAACCAGC